GCUUCCGCUGGUGCGAUGCGGAGUUGCCAGGCCGCCAUCUUGUCUUCGGCAGCUCUGAGGUAUCGGGAAAGAACAAAGGAGCGCCCCCAAAGAAGCACAACUACCAUCAAAAAAGGACGGAUUUGUUAAGGGAGGAAGGCUCCUAAGUAGAACAAUGGCUUUAAGUGGGCCUUGGGUUUCUGGAGGCGUCCUGCGUCUAGCACCGUUGACGUGGCGCCAUCUCGUGGGACUGUAGGAAGGUUGCACGGGCUUCCUGACUGGCUCUGGGCGCCGUGGUGGAAAGCGGCACGGUUUCAAGUGGCCGAACGCUCCAUUCUCCCUUGCCUAUAUGAGCUCUUGAUACGAAGUUUUCCACUGCCUUCGCUCUUUACUAGCGGUUUAUUUUGUAUUUUCAGCAGGGUUUGGAUUGAGUGAAUUUCCACGUAAAAUGUGGAGGAAUUCUUAGGACUUUGGGUUGCAGCAGCCCGGAUUAGUAAACCCCCAGCGUAAAACCGUUUUUCAAAUUAUCUUAAUUAUGACAGCAUAGAGACGUCCAUAACACCCAGUAAACCGAGACAGAAAACAAACAGUACCCAUUGGGAGGUAGAGCAAUCUGCUGUCAGCUUACAGAUGCUUAGGGGAGUUACUAGCAUCAGCAAGUCAAGGAAAAUGCUGCUACACUACACUUUAUAUUAAUGUAACAUUAAGGCAUGCAACCUGUACGAACUUCUCACACAAACUUGCACAAAAUGACAAGUUAGACAGGGAUGUAUGUCGUGUAUAGUUGCAACUUAAAUAAAAGUCUCAAACCACCAGUCCCAUGGCCUAUAGUGAUAAAAAUAAAAACAAUCCUUUUCUGGAGUGGACAAUGACAGAAAGGUGCCACCCUUUGAAGUUUAUGAAAAGGUGAAAUAAAAAGGAGGAGGACAUGGCUACUUCUAAAGUAUGGAGAAGAUUUUUUUUAUUAUUUUUAAUUUUUUUUUGUAGCUAUAAGGAAGACAGGCAGAGGGAAGGGUCCAGGUCGAACAUGACUGUUAGACUAAAUACAACAUAAGAGCAAGAGGGGCCUUGAACCUGUAAGAGUCCAUGAAUGGUCUAAGAAUCAUACCCUAGGCUCAAACAGUAUGUAAACGCACAGAGUGUUUUAUUCUGCAGAAGUCCAGCGGUGCUGGAGUCUCCCAUUACCAGAAAUAAAGAGUCAACCAAGUGA